rnacentral:antisense_RNA from 1 species
GACAGCCGCGGGAAGACACGAGAGGCUGCUAGAAGGACUUCCCGCGGCCAGCGCCAUCACAUGCCCACGCCGCAGGGAGCCCUGACCAGAGCUCCAGACCUCUGGGUCCAACUGCCUUGUGGAUCCCUCUCCCUGAAUGUCGCAUAGGAGAGGAGACAGGGGUUGGCCACACACCUGGAAAUGGAGUUCUCUGAUGCAAUGUCCUUUGGGGUCCGGACUGUGGUGAAGGCUCGUCCAGCUCCACGCCCACCCACUGGCCGCUGGCAAACUCGGUGGUCCCACAGAACCGCAGUGUGCCCGUCUGGGGAGAGAAGGGAGGUGAUGGCUGAGGAAGGAAUGCUGGGAGGCAAACGUGGAGUGCCCCCACAGGGGCAGCAAGAAAAGAAGAGAGGGCAAUGCAACCAUGGAGGCAGAGACUGGAGAGAUGUGGCCACAAGCCAAGCACUGCCUGCAGCCACCAGAAACCGGAACAGGCAAAGAAGAGAUUCUCCCCCAGAACCUCCAGAGGAGUACAGCCCUGCCGACACCUUGGUUUUGGCCCAGGAAAGCCGAUUUGGACUCCUGGCCUCUAGAACUGUUAGAAAAUAAUUUGUCUUGUUUUAAGCCACCAAGUUUGUUAGAGCAGCAUGGGAAACUAAUAGCG